UGGGGAAUUUUGGACAAUGGGCGAAAGCCUGAUCCAGCAAUGCCGCGUGUGUGAAGAAGGCCUUCGGGUUGUAAAGCACUUUUGUCCGGAAAGAAAUCCUCUGGGUUAAUACCUCGGGGGGAUGACGGUACCGGAAGAAUAAGCACCGGCUAACUACGUGCCAGCAGCCGCGGUAAUACGUAGGGUGCAAGCGUUAAUCGGAAUUACUGGGCGUAAAGCGUGCGCAGGCGGUUUUGUAAGACGGAUGUGAAAUCCCCGGGCUUAACCUGGGAACUGCAUUCGUGACUGCAAGGCUAGAGUAUGGCAGAGGGGGGUAGAAUUCCACGUGUAGCAGUGAAAUGCGUAGAGAUGUGGAGGAAUACCGAUGGCGAAGGCAGCCCCCUGGGCCAAUACUGACGCUCAUGCACGAAAGCGUGGGGAGCAAACAGGAUUAGAUACCCUGGUAGUCCACGCCCUAAACGAUGUCAACUAGUUGUUGGGGAUUCAUUUCCUUAGUAACGUAGCUAACGCGUGAAGUUGACCGCCUGGGGGAAGUACGGUCGCAAGAUUAAAACUCAAAGGAAUUGACGGGGUCAUAGCUG
rnacentral:rRNA from 1 species